rnacentral:rRNA from 1 species
UACGAAGGGUGCAAGCUUUAAUCGGAAUUACUGGGCGUAAAGGGUGCGUAGGCGGUUCGUUAAGUCUGUCGUGAAAUCCCCGGGCUCAACCUGGGAAUGGCGAUGGAUACUGGCGAGCUAGAGUGUGUCAGAGGAUGGUGGAAUUCCCGGUGUAGCGGUGAAAUGCGUAGAGAUCGGGAGGAACAUCAGUGGCGAAGGCGGCCAUCUGGGACAACACUGACGCUGAAGCACGAAAGCGUGGGGAGCAAACAGG